rnacentral:rRNA from 1 species
CGAAGGGGGCUAGCGUUGUUCGGAAUUACUGGGCGUAAAGCGCGUGUAGGCGGUUGCCAUAGUCAGGUGUGAAAGCCUUGAGCUCAACUCAAGAAAUGCACUUGAUACUGGGCGACUAGAGGACAGGAGAGGAUAGUGGAAUUCCCAGUGUAGUGGUGAAAUACGUAGAGAUUGGGAAGAACACCAGUGGCGAAGGCGGCUAUCUGGACGGUUUCUGACGCUAAGACGCGAAAGCGUGGGGAGCAAACAGGAUUAGAUACCCUGGUAGUCCACGCCGUAAACGAUGGGUGCUAGACGUUGGCGAGCUUGCUCGUCAGUGUCGCAGCUAACGCGUUAAGCACCCCGCCUGGGGAGUACGGCCGCAAGGUUG